GAUGAAGAACGUAGCAAAAUGCGAUAAGUAGUGUGAAUUGCAGAAUUCAGUGAAUCAUCGAAUCUUUGAACGCACAUUGCGCCUCCUGGUAUUCCGGGAGGCAUGCCUGUUCGAGCGUCAUUAAAAUCACUCAAGCUUAGGUUUACCUAUUGCUUGGUCUUGGAGAUGGAAGCCAAUUCAUUGGAAUCCUCUUCGAAAUCCAAUGGCGAAGACCCUUGCUCUCCCAAGUGUAGUAAUAACUUAUGUCACUGAAGGAAGCGAGAAAUCUUCCGCCGUAACCCCCAUAUUUUCUAUGAUUGACCUCGGAUCAGGUAGGGAUACCCGCUGAACUUAAGCAUAUCAAUAAGCGGAGGA
rnacentral:misc_RNA from 1 species